UACGCAGGGUGCAAACGUUAUUCGGAAUCACUGGGCGUAAAGGGUGCGUAGACGGUAUGUUACGUUUGUUGUUAAAGGCUCUGGCCUAACCGGAGUAUUGCGAUGAAAACUGGCAUGCUAGAGGGUGAGAGAGAGAAGUGGAAUUCCUGGAGUAGCGGUAAAAUGCGUAGAUCUCAGGAGGAACACCAAUGGCGAAGGCAGCUUCUUGGAUCAUUCCUGACGUUGAGGCACGAAAGCGGGGGGAGCAAACAGG
rnacentral:rRNA from 1 species